rnacentral:misc_RNA from 1 species
AUAAAAAAAAAAAAUCAGGAUGUACCCACAAGCUCUUCACUGUAUUUGGCAUGGUUACGGAAGAAACUCUUUAUAUAUUGCACUGCACUAAAUUUUAACUUGAAAAUCAGGUUCAUACGUGCGCAGACAUAAACAUUCUAAUCAGUCCCUAAGCUUUGGUGAACACUCACCAAGUAUAUCUCAAUCAAAAGAUGCUGGAUUACAAGUGGUUGUCCAGUACAUUGAAUUGGUACCUAUUCUGGGGGAUUGGGCCAAAAGGAUAUAAACAAACAAAUUAUAUUCAAGAUUUUGGUACCAACGACCCCACAUUAUCUUAUGUCUUGUAAUUUUUUUCAUUUCAGAAUAAUGUCACUUAUGCAUGACAGAACAAAAUUCAGAAAAGGUACUUGAAAUUCAGACUUGUUUACAUUUCCCCUUCAUUCUCUAAUUUCAAACAUUCUCUGCCCCUGUUUUUCCUCAACCCUUAGUUGCUUGUUUCUCAUGAAGAAUAGAUGAAAGUAAGCUAUUGAUGCUUCUUUAAGCAGAUGAAAAUCGAAAUGAUACCCCCCAUAUGACUGGAAAAGGAAUGAGCACGCAUAUAAUGUACCAUAAGGCUUAGAAAUGUUUAUUUUUUUAAACCUACAUUAAAAGGUUAUUCAUGCUAAAUAAUAUAAAAUCUGCACUUAUAAACCAAUAUCUAGGAAGAAAGUCAACAUUCAGACUACCU